UGGGGAAUAUUGGACAAUGGGGGAAACCCUGAUCCAGCGACGCCGCGUGGGUGAAGAAGGCCUGCGGGUUGUAAAGCCCUUUCGGUAGGGACGAAAACUCUCGACCUAACACGUCGGGAGCUUGACUUAACCUACAAAAGAAGCACCGGCUAACUCUGUGCCAGCAGCCGCGGUAAUACAGAGGGUGCGAGCGUUAAUCGGAAUUACUGGGCGUAAAGCGCACGUAGGCGGCUUGGCAUGUCGGGUGUGA
rnacentral:rRNA from 1 species